CAAUAGCGUAUAUUAAAGUUGUUGCAGUUAAAAAGCUCGUAGUUGGAUUUGUGGCUCGUCCCGCCGGCUGGGUCAUUGACUUUUGCUGUGCUGGUCGUCCAUCCUUGGGUGGAAUCUGUGUGGCAUUAGGUUGUCGCGCAGGGGAUGCCCAUCGUUUACUGUGAAAAAAUUAGAGUGUUCAAAGCAGGCUUAUGCCGUUGAAUAUAUUAGCAUGGAAUAAUGAUAUAGGACCUUGGUACUAUUUUGUUGGUUUGCGCACUGAGGUAAUGAUUAAUAGGGACAGUUGGGGGUAUUCGUAUUCCAUUGUAAGAGGUGAAAUUCUUGGAUUUUUGGAAGACGAACUACUGCGAAAGCAUUUACCAAGGAUGUUUUCAUUAA
rnacentral:rRNA from 1 species